rnacentral:rRNA from 1 species
GACGAACGCUGGCGGCGUGCCUAACACAUGCAAGUCGAACGGGAUUUAGCGGUAGCUUGCUACAGCGAAGAUCUAGUGGCGGACGGGUGAGUAACACGUGAGCAAUCUGCCUUAAAGAGGGGGAUAACGUCUGGAAACGGACGCUAAUACCGCAUAACGUAUCGAGUGGGCAUCCACAUGAUACCAAAGGAGCAAUCCGCUUUAAGAUGAGCUCGCGUCUGAUUAGCUAGUUGGUGAGGUAACGGCUCACCAAGGCGACGAUCAGUAGCCGGACUGAGAGGUUGAACGGCCACAUUGGGACUGUGACACGGCCCAGACUCCUACGGGAGGCAGCAGUGGGGAAUAUUGCGCAAUGGGGGAAACCCUGACGCAGCAACGCCGCGUGAAGGAUGAAGGUUUUCGGAUUGUAAACUUCUUUGACGAGGGACGAAAGAAAUGACGGUACCUCGAAAACAAGCCACGGCUAACUACGUGCCAGCAGCCGCGGUAAUACGUAGGUGGCGAGCGUUGUCCGGAUUUACUGGGUGUAAAGGGCGAGUAGGCGGGAUUUCAAGUCUGAUGUGAAAACUAUCGGCUUAACUGGUAGACUGCAUUGGAAACUGAGAUUCUUGAGUGAUGGAGAGGCAGGCGGAAUUCCUAGUGUAGCGGUGAAAUGCGUAGAUAUUAGGAGGAACACCAGUGGCGAAGGCGGCCUGCUGGACAUUAACUGACGCUGAGGCGCGAAAGCGUGGGGAGCAAACAAAAUUAGAUACCCUGGUAGUCCCCGCUGUAAACGAU